UUGAAAUACUUGUCAGCAGGAUAUGUGGUGUGAAGUGUUCAGACCAUUACAGGAAGAUUCAGGACGAACUUUAUCAAUAUUUAGGAUUCCAUUUUUGGCACAAUUUUAUUCUCAAAUUACGAGACCCGACAGAGACAUAUUUAAACAUGCUGAUAAAUAUCAAUAUGUCAUAACUUAUUCAGGAUUCCAUUUUUGCACAAUUUUAUUCUCAAAUUACGAGACCUGGUAGAGCCAUAUUUGAGAAUUCUGAAUGUUGAUAAAUAUCAAUUCAUCAUACCCUUGUAAAUAUUAAAUUGAACUGAGUUAUUUUUAUACUGUUUUGACAAAAUGCAAAUGGCACAUCGGAACUGUACUAAUCCUAAUUGAUUUUACUUUCAGGCUUGGAUGUGUGGAGGUCUGUUGGAGAUUUUACCCUGUUCGAGAGUAGGUCACGUGUUCCGCAGCGUUCUACCACACAGCUUCCCUGAUGGGGGACGACAGACGGUUGCUAGAAAUCUACGACGUGUAGCAGAAGUAUGGAUGGAUGAUUACAAAAAUAUAUUUUAUUCUUCUUUGAAUAUAGAUGAAGUAGAAGUAGGUGAUAUACAAGAAAGACAGACUUUACGUACCAGAUUAAAAUGUAAAAGAUUUAAAUGGUAUUUACAGAAUGUUAUACCAGAGUUACCUGUCCCUGACCAAUCAGAUCUGGCAUUCGGAGAGUUUCGUCAUCAGUUGUCUUUACAGUGCCUUACUGUCCAAGCAAAUGGAAGAAUAAUUCUCUCAGCUUGUCAAGGACAGAAAAAUACUCAGGUUUUUAGUUUGACUUCUCAUGGCAACCUUCACCUAUAUAACAGUAGUGAUGACAACAAUAGUUGCAUCCGGACAGACGAUAAGAAAUUAUAUCUAGGUGCAUGUGGUCACCAUAUAUGGAAAUUACAGGGUCAGCAAAUUCAGCAAACGGGAAGUGAAUUAUGUCUUGGAAGUGAAGAUCAUGAAAUUCCUUUACUUUUAACAUGUGACGCUCGACCUGAAUCAACAUGGGAUGUGACUUAUAAAUUUCAUCAUAAAAGAAACAUUGGUAGAUGAUGAAAGAAAUAUUUAUAGAUGGUUCAAAGGAAUAAUGUAUUAAUGAUCUCAUAUGAGACAUAGUCAAGUUUUAAAACGAUGAACAGUGUGACUACGUGGGUUCCCCCAUUUGGCAAAAGAAUUUACCACUAACAAUUCAAUGGGGACCCAUAGCAUGACAUGUUCUAGACAUUUGACGCCAAGUAUAAGAUACAUAACAUUUGUCCUAAUAUUCAGCGCAAGUUUUAAGACAUUACCCAGUGAAAUUGUGAUGGCACAUUCAUCAAUCCAAACGUCACGAUACAUGUUAUUGAAGAUCGGCUUUCUAUUUUUGUUGUGAUAUUUCAAUAUAAUAAACAAACUGAAGUUGAAGUGCUAACCGAUUAGUAUGAUGUAAAACUAUAGUACCAGUAUUAUUUUUAAGAAACAUGGUGAUUUGAUUUGUUAAGAAUUUGUUCUCUGAUAAUAAGAUAUAGAGAAAUAAAUUGUCAUGGUUACUAUUCAAAGAGUGAUCAUCAUUACCAUUAUCGUUCUCAGACAGAAUUAUCUUCGUCAUCAUCACCAUAUUACUUCAUCAUUACAUCAUCAUCAUCAUCAUUUUCAUCAUCGUUAAUCAUCAUCGUUAAUCAUCAUAAUUAUGUUUCCAAGACAUCAUUUUUCCUGGGAUUCAUCGUUAUCAAUAGUCCAUCGUGAAUUUAGAAUAGAAUGUUCGGUUCGUUUCAAAUGAAUAAAAUAUUGUUUCAAUUAAAAUUAAAAUCAAUCAGGAAUCAUUAUCAAGGUUUAUGGUUUUAUUAUCAAAAUCAGCAUCAAUCAUCGAUAUUAUUUCCCUGCAUCAUUGUCACAAUCCCUUAUAUCUUUAUCAUUAUCAUCUGCGUUUAUAAUCCAUCUUGAAAAUCAUCAUCAUGAAUGUUUCUAUAUAUCAGCAUCACCAUUAAUUAUCAUUUCCCUGAGGACAUCAUUGUCACAAUCCCAGACAUAUCAUCACCAUCAUCAUCAUCAUAACUAUUAUUGUCAUCAUUUUUUGCCAUGUGUCAUUAUCAUCUAUUGUUUUACCGUUUCAUUUUGUUAUCACCCCCUUACAUUAAGCACAUUUUUACCCUUUCAUUUGUUGGUGAAUAUUAUCUCCCCUUUCCGUCCUAAGAUUAAUCAAUAUAUUUUACUAUUUGUCUUUCCUAUCUCUCUUUUCCAUCAUGGUCUUGAUUUUCUUUUACAGUAGUUGUAGGUUGCAUUUUCAUUCACACUCUCCAUUGUAAACAUGUAGUCCUUCUAAUCUCCUCUAAUUAUCCAUGUUCAUUUUCAUCCUUUUCAGAUUCCAUUUUCAUUUUUCCCAUUCAUCCAUUUUCAUUCCAUAAUUCCAUAACUCUUCAUUAUUCCACCUUUUUAUGUGCCAAUUAUUCCUGUUCAUUUCCCACUUCCACUUUCCUCAUUCAUUCCACUCAUUUUCAUUUUUCCCUCCCCAAUCCGUUUCUCGCAUUGUAUCGCUUGUCUCAUCAAAUCAUUCCCUUUCAUCUGCCCCAUUAUUCGUUUCAUAUUCCCGUUUUCAACCCCCAACAAUUCAUUACAAACCAACCCCCCUCCCCAACACACACACACACAUAAACACCCUUUCAUCUUCAUCACAACCCCCACCCCCUCCCCAACACACACACACCCUUUCAUCUCCCUUUCAUUUUCCCCAUGUUAUCCCUCCGUUACACCAUGGUAUUUAACAUUGAAGCAAUAAAUUCAUGAACAGGGUAAUAUAAUUUACUUUUUAUAAGAAAAAGAAAGUUCUUUCAUAUUUUUAUAACUUGAUGUGUUUAUUGUUUAUUUAUAUAAUUAUUACUGUCAUAUCAGCAUAAUUUAUUGUAUAAUAUUGUCUGUUCUAUAUUAUUGUCUUUGUUUUUAAAUUGUUGUUGUCGACCAUAGGUCAUCGUAUCCCAUUCUUUAUCAGUCUUUAUUAAAAUCACUUCAGAUCAGGGUAGGGUCUGGGGCAUUCACUAUUCAAGCUGUCCUAAGACAGGUGUCAAUUAACCACAGAACAACGUUCGGAUACAAGAAGACCACAGUGGCUUCACUAUAAUCAUUGCUGGAUUAUUUAUAAAAAAUUCUAUAUUUGUAACAACGUUUCGAAGAUUAUUCUCUCGUCUUUAUCUAGCAAAUAAUAAUAUAUUAUAUAAUUUGAACAAGCUAAAUAAUUAUUGUGCACUGAAUAAUGUUUAUGAAUUAACAAUGUGUUAAUAAAGCAGCAAUUGUUAUUACAUAAAUAGUUUAUAUUGUGUUACUGUUCAAUUACCAAAUGCCACUCAAAACAAUACUUCAACUUUCAUGUUUAGGAAUAUUAUACCCCUGUUUCAUCAGCCCCCACCCUCCCCUCGCCUGCCCCAUCUGGAUGAGUCCCAAACAAUAUAUAACAUAAACAUCUAAUAUAUCAUAUAUCCAAAACAUCUAUAGAAACCAGGAAAGUAAUUCUGUUUUAUGUAUUUUGUAAAUAUUAUUUGUAUUAAAAUGACUUGGUCAGUUUGUUGUUGUGUAUUUUGGAUUGUAUAUGUAUAUAUUACUGGAGUUAUUAUAAUAUUAUUCAUAUAUGACAAUAUAAUUGUAAACUCAUGAAUAAAAACA